rnacentral:rRNA from 1 species
GACAGAGGGGGCAAGCGUUGCCCGGAAUUACUGGGCGUAAAGGGCGCGUAGGCGGGAUGGCAAGUCGGUCGUGAAAUCCUUCGGCUCAACCGAAGAACGUCGAUCGAUACUGCUGUUCUUGAGGGUUGCAGAGGAGACUGGAAUUCCCGGUGUAGCGGUGAAAUGUGUAGAGAUCGGGAGGAACACCGGUGGCGAAGGCGGGUCUCUGGGCAAUUCCUGACGCUGAGGCGCGAAAGCGUGGGGAGCAAACGGG